rnacentral:lncRNA from 1 species
UCGAUAGAUACUAUUUGAAAAUUAACAGAGUAAUAGCAAAGUAUCGGCCAUGAGGAGAUGAGCAGUGGUGGAGAAUGGAGUGGUGGAGAAGGGAGUGACGGAAAGGGGGCCGAUAGAGAGAGGUGUGGCAAAAGAGGGAUUGACCAAGAGUGGGGACGGAGGUGGGGAUGAGAGGGCGGUAGAGGAGGUGGCUGCGGGUGGGAUCUUGCGAAGAGGGCCUCACAGAGGAUAGGGCGGCAUAGCAUGUUGGAGAGGUCGCUAGCAGAGGAGAGACGGACGGAUUAUGGGCUUGGGUUGGAGGAGAAGGGAGAGAGACAUAAUAGACAGGUUGGGGGAGGGAGCAGGAAAGAAAAUCUAAUUUUAGAGUUUUAAGUGAAUUUUAUUUUAACUCUAACUUUGCCCAUAAGUUAAUUAAUUACACUCUACUUUUUAAGUGCCAUUUUAAAUUAUUUAAACGCCUCGUAAUAAAAAUUUUCAAUAGUAUAGCUUAAUUAUAUUAUUUUAUUAUUAUGUAUUUAAAUGACAUUUGAAUAUUAAAAUUAAGAGUGUGAUAUAAAGCAUACAUUAAAAAAAAAAAAAGAAAAUCAUAUUUAUUUCUAGAUUUAGACCACUAAGUUAGAAUAUAGCUUAAUUAUAUUAUUUUAUUAUGAUGUAUUUAAAUGACAUUUGAAUAUUAAAAUUAAGAGUGUGAUAUAAAGCAUACAUUAAAAAAAAAGAAAAGAUAAUCAUCUUUAUUUCUAGAUUUAGACCACUAAGUUAGGAUUUUUUUAGAUAAAGUGACAAAAUCUAUUUAACAUAAUGUGUGUUUUUAUUAAAAAAAAAUCCGAUUGACUUAAAAGGGUUAGUGGCUCAAUAAAUUAAACUAAAAAAUUAAGAAUAUUAUUUUAAUUGUAAAAAAUUAAGAAUAUUAUUUUAUAUCAAAUAAAAUUUAUGGGAUAAAAUUUAUACAUAUAUUAUAAAGCAUAUUCGUAGUAUUGCACAUCAAUACAUAUAUUAAAAGCCCAGUUCUACUGUGGCUUACGUGGCGCUUUCUCGGCGCCCCCAGUUUCUCCAAAGCCUCCCCGCGUUUCGCGGGGGCUUCGGGGGACCCNACUCUGUCCGCGGUACAGGGGAAACCCUGUCCGUUCGGCGGUCUGUUGGCGUGCCCGAAUCCCACCAAAGAGGCGGGCUCGGGGCGUGACAUCGCUAGCAGAGGAGAGACGGACGGAUUAUGGGCUUGGGUUGGAGGAGAAGGGAGAGAGACAUAAUAGACAGGUUGGGGGAGGGAGCAGGAAAGAAAAUCUAAUUUUAGAG